AUUGAACGCUGGCGGCAGGCCUAACACAUGCAAGUCGAACGAGUGGCGGAGGGGAGAGUAAUGUCUGGGAAACUGCCUGAUGGCGGGGGAUCAAUACUGGAAACGGUAGCUAAUACCGAAUACCAUCGGAUGUGCCCAUAUGGGAUUAGCCAGUAGGUGGGGUAAAGGCUCACCUAGGCGACGAUCCCUAGCUGGUCUGCGAGGAUGACGAGCCACACUGGAACUGAGACGAGGUGCAGACAGCUGCGGCAGGCAGCCGUGGGGAAUAUGGCACAGUGGGCGCGAGCCUGAUGCAGGAAUGCCGCGUGGAUGAAGGAGGCCUUCGGGGUGGAAAGGACUUUCAGAAGGGAGACGGUACCCGAAGAAGAAGCGUCGGCUAACUCCGUGCCAGCAGCCGCGGUAAUUC
rnacentral:rRNA from 1 species